CUGCCCACCAGCCGCGGUAAUACGUAAGGUGGCAAGCGUGUCCGGAAUUAUUGGGCGUAAAGCGCGCGCAGGCGGUCCUUUAAGUCUGAUGUGAAAGCCCACGGCUCAACCGUGGAGGGUCAUUGGAAACUGGGGGACUUGAGUGCAGAAGAGGAAAGUGGAAUUCCAAGUGUAGCGGUGAAAUGCGUAGAGAUUUGGAGGAACACCAGUGGCGAAGGCGACUUUCUGGUCUGUAACUGACGCUGAGGCGCGAAAGCGUGGGGAGCAAACAGGAUUAGAUACCCUGGUAGUCC
rnacentral:rRNA from 1 species